rnacentral:lncRNA from 1 species
GUCCAGUGUGGUGACUGGGCUGAGUCAACCAGGUUCUCCCUCAGGAAUGUGAACUAAGACACACUGAAAGAAUGGAGCAGAUAACAGAAAUCUGAAGCUGAGGGAACGUUCUGGGGCAGAGGAGCAACCAUGAUGCCCCAUUCUCAGGGAAAAGUUAUGAGGCAGGAGGAAUUGGAAAAAAACAACAGAGACCCAGAAUAAAGCCCAGAGAGCAGAGAAUUGGGAAAAAAAAUGAGCUAGCUGGAAGAGAGAUACAGACACACCAAAGAGGAAUUUAUUUAGCUAUGUUUCACUCAGAAGAUCCUGUUGACAGCCCGGAUGCACACCGCUGGGAAGUUCUGGAGUCUCUAGCCAUAUGUCCACUUGCCUGCCAGGUGCACUGGCCAUAACCACAGCACAUUCCUGAAGGUCACUACAAGGCUGGAAAAUUGUGGGUCAGCUUCCCAGAGGCACAAUCUCCCAGACAAGCUGAGGCUUUAGGCCCGCCUGCAGUCUAUUCCUGGCUCCACCAUCGGAGAGAUUGGAUGGAAGACCAGAGGCUGGGGGAGGAAGACGGGCCUGCUACUGUUCCUGUCUGCACUGCCCCGGGAAAAGCCUACAUCCUGGCACCAGCAGGUCAGUUCUGGUGACCUCAACCUCUCCCCUUCGUCUCCCAGCUCUAGAAGUCCCAGAUGCUUCCUGCAGUGACCAUCUUUAUGUGAAUCCUGUGUUACAUCAGUGUUCCCUUUUUGCUUUUCUGUGCUUCAACAGCUAUUUCAUCAAUUCCCUAUGAAAGUAAUCAGCAACCAGCCCUGUGCAUUUCAUGAGGAUUAACAUUAACCCCAACCUUAUUGUCUUAGGAAGCUGUAUGUCAGGAUCCAGAAAGAAGACAGAAAUCACACCAGUUAUUUUAACAGA